AAUAACUCAGGAACUGAUAACCAAAUGAUGAUGAUGAUGAUGAUCAACCCAGAGGACUGGUUGAAUUCGUUGCUCAAACCAGAGAAAAACACUGUCCUACUAAAUGAUACUAUUUUAAAUAAAUUGAUUGGUCAUUACUGUCAAGCAAUUGAAGUAAUUUGUCCAGAUACAUAUAAAGAUGAAGGUUUUGCUCAAAUUCAAGUGAGAUUCAACAGCUGAAUUAAAGCUAUUCAAGAGCCAGAUGAUGUAUAAGUGGCUAUAGCAAACUGCAAGACAUUUGCUUUUGUGCAUAUAUCUUCUGCACAGUUUGAAAUGUCUCAAGGUAAUUUCAAAAAAAGUAAACACCUUCUUCAUAAAGCUGUAAAAUGUGGAGCAGUACCACUAGAAAUGCUGCAAAUUGCCACGCAGAAUUGAAACCUCCAACAAAGUAGCUGCUUUCAGCGAAGGAAAAGAGUUCAUCAACAUUGACAAUAUUAACUACCCAAGAAUCAUUCUCUAGUUCAUUGAACAUUUACAGAAUAGGAAC
rnacentral:lncRNA from 10 species